GCCGCUUUAGUGUAGUGGUAUCACACCGGUUUCCUUCGGGAGAAAUCUUUUCACCGGAAACAUAGGUUCGAUUCCUAUAAGUGGACA